rnacentral:rRNA from 1 species
UACGAAGGGGGCUAGCGUUGCUCGGAAUCACUGUGCGUAAAGCGCACGUAGGCGGAUUGUUAAGUCAGGGGUGAAAUCCUGGAGCUCAACUCCAGAACUGCCUUUGAUACUGGCGAUCUCGAGUCCGGGAGAGGUGAGUGGAACUGCGAGUGUAGAGGUGAAAUUCGUAGAUAUUCGCAAGAACACCAGUGGCGAAGGCGGCUCACUGGCCCGGUACUGACGCUGAGGUGCGAAAGCGUGGGGAGCAAACAGG